AAAUGUGCGCAGUGGCAGUAUCGUAGCCAAUGAGGUUUAUCCGAGGCGCGAUUAUUGCUAUAGAUGUACAGUUUAUUAACGUUAAGUACGUUCACGUUUUGUGCAACAAAUCUGUGGAGCUCUUUUCUCAUCUUGAAAAACAGA